CAAUUCCGGACUCUAUAAGGUCGGCCCAAACUUAAAGAACUCGCGGAGAGCUGAAGCCGGUGAGAAUCCGGCACUGUCCCGCAACGGUGAUGAGGCCCCUCCCCCUGGGAGGGGAACAACCUUAAGUCCGAGCGCACCCGAGUUCCAAAAAGCCC
rnacentral:ncRNA from 2 species